rnacentral:rRNA from 1 species
UACGGAGGGGGCUAGCGUUGUUCGGAAUUACUGGGCGUAAAGCGCACGUAGGCGGCUUUGUAAGUUAGAGGUGAAAGCCCAGGGCUUAACCCUGGAAUUGCCUUUAAGACUGCAUCGCUAGAAUUGUGGAGAGGUAAGUGGAAUUCCGAGUGUAGAGGUGAAAUUCGUAGAUAUCAGGAGGAACACCGGUGGCGAAAGCGCGUAACUGGGUCAUAACUGACGCUGAGGAACGAAAGCCAGGGUAGCAAAAAGG